rnacentral:rRNA from 1 species
UUGGAGGGCAAGUCUGGUGCCCGCAGCCGCGGUAAUUCCAGCUCCAAUAGCGUAUAUUAAAGUUGUUGCAGUUAAAAAGCUCGUAGUUGAAUUUCGGGAUCAGUACGUUGGUCGUGCCUUAGGUACGUACUGGUGUUACUGGUUCCUACCUUCUGACGAACCAUCAUGUCAUUUAUUUGGUGUGGCGGGGAAUCAGGACUGUUACUUUGAAAAAAUUAGAGUGUUUAAAGCAGGCUCGCGCUUGAAUACAUUAGCAUGGAAUAAUGAAAUAGGACGUUGAUCCUAUUUUGUUGGUUUCUAGGAUUGACGUAAUGAUUAAUAGGGAUAGUUGGGGGCAUUAGUAUUCAAUUGUCAGAGGUGAAAUUCUUGGAUUUAUUGAAGACUAACUACUGCGAAAGCAUUUGCCAAGGAUGUUUUCAUUAAUCAAGAACGAAAGUUAGGGGAUCGAAGACGAUCAGAUACCGUCGUAGUCUUAACCAUAAACUAUGCCGACUAGGGAUCGGAUGAUGUUAUUUUUAAUGACUCAUUCGGCGCCUUACGGGAAAC